AUUGAACGCUGGCGGCAUGCCUUACACAUGCAAGUCGAACGGCAGCACGGGAGUAAUCCUGGUGGCGAGUGGCGAACGGGUGAGUAAUAUAUCGGAACGUGCCCAGUCGUGGGGGAUAACGCAGCGAAAGCUGUGCUAAUACCGCAUACGAUCUAAGGAUGAAAGCGGGGGAUCGCAAGACCUCGCGCGAUUGGAGCGGCCGAUAUCAGAUUAGCUAGUUGGUGGGGUAAAGGCCCACCAAGGCGACGAUCUGUAGCUGGUCUGAGAGGACGACCAGCCACACUGGAACGUGGACACGGUCCAGACUCCUACGGGAGGCAGCAGUGGGGAAUUUUGGACAAUGGGCGCAAGCCUGAUCCAGCAAUGCCGCGUGCAGGAUGAAGGCCUUCGGGUUGUAAACUGCUUUUGUACGGAACGAAACGGCCCUUUCUAAUACAGGGGGCUAAUGACGGUACCGUAAGAAUAAGCACCGGCUAACUACGUGCCAGCCGCCGCCGUAA
rnacentral:rRNA from 1 species